GCGGCGGACGGGUGAGUAAUGCAUAGGAAUCUGCCCGGUAGUGGGGGAUAACCUGGGGAAACCCAGGCUAAUACCGCAUACGCCCUACGGGGGAAAGCGGGGGACCUUCGGGCCUCGCGCUAUCGGAUGAGCCUAUGUCGGAUUAGCUGGUUGGUGAGGUAACGGCUCACCAAGGCGACGAUCCGUAGCUGGUCUGAGAGGAUGAUCAGCCACACUGGGACUGAGACACGGCCCAGACUCC
rnacentral:rRNA from 2 species